AGCGAACGCUGGCGGCAGGCUUAACACAUGCAAGUCGAGCGGGCCCUUCGGGGUCAGCUGCGGACGGGUGAGUAACGCGUGGGAACGUGCCUUCUGGUCUGGAAUAACCCUGGGAAACUAGGGCUAAUACCGGAUACGCCCUUUUGGGGAAAGGUUUACUGCCGGAAGAUCGGCCCGCGUCUGAUUAGCUAGUUGGUGGGGUAACGGCCUACCAAGGCGACGAUCAGUAGCUGGUCUGAGAGGAUGAUCAGCCACACUGGGACUGAGACACGGACCAGACCCCUACGGGAAGGAGCAGUGGGGAAUAUUGGACAAUGGGCGCAAGCCUGAUACAGCCAUGCCGGGUGAGUGAUGAAGGCCUUAGGGUUGUAAAGCUCUUUUAUCCGGGACGAUAAUGACGGUACCGGAGGAAUAAGCCCCGGCUAACUUCGUG
rnacentral:rRNA from 1 species